rnacentral:rRNA from 1 species
CAAGUCGAGCGAGAAAGUGUAGCAAUACAUGAGUAAAGCGGCGCACGGGUGAGUAACACGUGGAUAACCUGCCUCAAAGUGGGGAAUAACACCGGGAAACCGGUGCUAAUACCGCAUAUUCUGACGAGAUCUGCGGAUUUUGUCAGGAAAGGAGCAAUUCGCUAUGAGAGGGGUCCGCGGCUGAUUAGCUAGUUGGUGAGGUAAUGGCUCACCAAGGCUUCGAUCAGUAGCCGGUCUGAGAGGACGGUCGGCCACACUGGAACUGAGACACGGUCCAGACUCCUACGGGAGGCAGCAGUGGGGAAUUUUUCGCAAUGGGGGAAACCCUGACGAAGCAAUGCCGCGUGGAUGAUGAAGUAUCUCGGUACGUAAAAUCCUUUCGACGGGGACGAAACCGCAAGGUUGACGGUACCCGUAGAAGAAGCCCCGGCUAACUCCGUGCCAGCAGCCGCGGUAAUACGGGGGGGGCAAGCGUUGUUCGGAAUUACUGGGCGUAAAGGGUGCGUAGGCGGCUUUCUAAGUCGGAUGUGAAAACUCUGGGCUCAACCCAGAGCCUGCAUCUGAAACUGGAGAGCUAGGGUUCUGGAGGGGAAAGCGGAAUUCCUGGUGUAGCGGUGAAAUGCGUAGAUAUCAGGAGGAACACCGGUGGCGAAGGCGGCUUUCUGGACAGAUACCGACGCUGAGGCACGAAAGCUAGGGGAGCAAACAGGAUUAGAUACCCUGGUAGUCCUAGCCCUAAACGAUGGAUACUUGCUGUGGGGGGGAUUGAAGCCCCUUGUGGCGAAGCUAACGCAUUAAGUAUCCCGCCUGGG